rnacentral:rRNA from 1 species
GAUGAACGCUGGCGGCGUGCCUAAUACAUGCAAGUCGAGCGAACAGACGAUGCGCUUGCUCCUCUGACGUUAGCGGCGGACGGGUGAGUAACACGUGGAUAACCUACCUAUAAGACUGGGAUAACUUCGGGAAACCGGAGCUAAUACCGGAUAAUAUAUUGAACCGCAUGGUUCAAUAGUGAAAGACGGUUUUGCUGUCACUUAUCGAUGGAUCCGCGCCGCAUUAGCUAGUUGGUAAGGUCACGGCUUACCAAGGCAACGAUGCGUAGCCGACCUGAGAGGGUGAUCGGCCACACGGGAACUGAGACACGGUCCAGACUCCUACGGGAGGCAGCAGUAGGGAAUCGUCCGCAAAGGGCGAAAGCCUGACGGAGCAACGCCGCGUGAGUGAUGAAGGUCUUCGGAUCGUAAAACCCUGUUAUUAGGUAAGAACAAAUGUGUAAGUAACUAUGCACGUCUUGACGGUACCUAAUCAGAAAGCCACGGCUAACUACGUG